rnacentral:rRNA from 1 species
CUGAAUAGGGCGCAUAAGUAACAGGUCGUAGACCCGAAACCAGGUGAUCUACCCAUGUCCAGGAUGAAGGUAAGGUAAUACUUACUGGAGGUCCGAACCCACGCACGUUGAAAAGUGCGGGGAUGAGGUGUGGGUAGCGGAGAAAUUCCAAUCGAACUUGGAGAUAGCUGGUUCUCUCCGAAAUAGCUUUAGGGCUAGCCUCGAGGUAAAGAGUCAUGGAGGUAGAGCACUGUUUGGACUAGGGGCCCUUCUCGGGUUACCGAAUUCAGAUAAACUCCGAAUGCCAUGUACUUAUACUCGGGAGUCAGACUGCGAGUGAUAAGAUCCGUAGUCGAAAGGGAAACAGCCCAGACCACCAGUUAAGGUCCCCAAAUAUAUGUUAAGUGGAAAAGGAUGUGGGGUUGCUUAGACAACCAGGAUGUUGGCUUAGAAGCAGCCACCAUUGAAAGAGUGCGUAAUAGCUCACUGGUCGAGUGACCCCGCGCCGAAAAUGUACCGGGGCUAAACAUAUUACCGAAACUGUGGAUGAACCUCUUUAGAGGUUCGUGGUAGGAGAGCGUUCUAAGGGCGGUGAAGUCAGACCGGAAGGACUGGUGGAGCGCUUAGAAGUGAGAAUGCCGGUAUGAGUAGCGAAAGAAGGGUGAGAAUCCCUUCCACCGAAUAUCUAAGGUUUCCUGAGGAAGGCUCGUCCGCUCAGGGUUAGUCGGGACCUAAGCCGAGGCCGAUAGGCGUAGGCGAUGGACAACAGGUAGAGAUUCCUGUACCAGUGCUAAUUGUUUAACCGAUGGGGUGACACAGAAGGAUAGGGAAUCGCACGAAUGGAAAUGUGCGUCCAAGCAGUGAGUGUGAGAAGUAGGCAAAUCCGCUUCUCGCGAAGCAUGAGCUGUGAUGGGGAAGGAAAUUAAGUACGGAAGUUCCUGAUUUCACGCUGUCAAGAAAAGCCUCUAGGAAGAGUAGUACUGCCCGUACCGCAAACCGACACAGGUAGAUGAGGAGAGAAUCCUAAGGUGAGCGAGAGAACUCUCGUUAAGGAACUCGGCAAAAUGACCCCGUAACUUCGGGAGAAGGGGUGCUCUAUUAGGGUGCAAGCCCGAGAGAGCCGCAGUGAAUAGGCCCAGGCGACUGUUUAGCAAAAACACAGGUCUCUGCAAAACCGUAAGGUGACGUAUAGGGGCUGACGCCUGCCCGGUGCUGGAAGGUUAAGAGGAGUGCUUAGCUUCGGCGAAGGUACGAAUUGAAGCCCCAGUAAACGGCGGCCGUAACUAUAACGGUCCUAAGGUAGCGAAAUUCCUUGUCGGGUAAGUUCCGACCCGCACGAAAGGCGCAACGAUCUGGGCACUGUCUCAACGAGAGACUCGGUGAAAUUAUAGUACCUGUGAAGAUGCAGGUUACCCGCGACAGGACGGAAAGACCCCGUGGAGCUUUACUGCAACCUGAUAUGGAAUGUUUGUACCGCUUGUACAGGAUAGGUAGGAGCCGAAGAGACGUGUGCGCUAGCAUACGAGGAGGCAAUGGUGGGAUACUACCCUGGCUGUAUGACCAUUCUAACCCGCCACGCUUAGCGCGUGGGGAGACAGUGUCAGGUGGGCAGUUUGACUGGGGCGGUCGCCUCCUAAAGAGUAACGGAGGCGCCCAAAGGUUCCCUCAGAAUGGAUGGAAAUCAUUCGCAGAGUGUAAAGGCACAAGGGAGCUUGACUGCGAGACUGACAAGUCGAGCAGGGACGAAAGUCGGGCUUAGUGAUCCGGUGGUUCCGCAUGGAAGGGCCAUCGCUCAACGGAUAAAAGCUACCCCGGGGAUAACAGGCUUAUCUCCCCCAAGAGUCCACAUCGACGGGGAGGUUUGGCACCUCGAUGUCGGCUCGUCGCAUCCUGGGGCUGUAGUCGGUCCCAAGGGUUGGGCUGUUCGCCCAUUAAAGCGGCACGCGAGCUGGGUUCAGAACGUCGUGAGACAGUUCGGUCCCUAUCCGUCGCGGGCGCAGGAAAUUUGAGAGGAGCUGUCCUUAGUACGAGAGGACCGGGAUGGACACACCGCUGGUGUACCAGUUGUUCCGCCAGGAGCAUCGCUGGGUAGCUAUGUGUGGCAGGGAUAAACGCUGAAAGCAUCUAAGCGUGAAGCCCCCCUCAAGAUGAGAUUUCCCAUUUCUUCGGAAAGUAAGAUCCCUGAAAGAUGAUCAGGUAGAUAGGUUUGGAGUG